AUUAGUAUUCUUGGUCAACUAAAAUCAUUCGACCUGGUGGGAGGAGAUUGCUUGGUGCACAUUAUGAGGAUGGUUCCUAAAGGAAUCAAUGUCUUCCAGAAUUUGAAAUGGCUUAAGGUGGCAUCUUGUAACAGGUUGAGGUACUUAUUCCCGGCUUCUAUGAUUAACUUGUUGGUGUCUUUAAAAACUCUAUACGUCGGUUAUUGUAGCGAAAUUGAAGAAAUCUUUGCGAGAGAAGAAGAAGAAGAAAGAACGUCUAGCGAAAUUGUGUUUCCCGAAUUAAGGAGAAUAGAACUAAUCGAUCUUCCAAGCUAAAUGUGCCAAAGCUGAAGGGAGUACAAAUAGGAAAAGACGAAGUCAUUGACAUUUCCAAUUUCCUAAGAUUGUGACGUAGGUUUCGUCUAGAAUCCACCUUCAAGUAGCUAGAAUAGAAGACAAAGUAAUCGUUGUCGGUUUGAAGGGUGGCCACGUCUCCAACGUCAGAUUUACGUGGGAAAGGGUUGAGAGGGAGAGAAUGAGGCUGCAGGGAAGGGUUGAGAAAGAGAGAUGGAGAGAGAG